rnacentral:tRNA from 1 species
GAGGGUAUAGCUCAGUGGCAGAGCACGUGCUUAGCAUGCAGGAGGUCCUGGGUUCAAUCCCCAGUACCUCCA